AAGCCACGUUGUGGGCAUGAAUAGACAAGAUCCUUGAAUCGCUCCCAAUAUUGGAAGAAUGUCUCAUCUUCCUUUUGAGCGAAGUUCAUGAUUAACUUCCUGGUGGU